GGGGUGCGGACAGUGUCUGGUGGGUAGUUUGACUGGGGCGGUCUCCUCCCAAAGAGUAACGGAGGAGCACGAAGGUUGGCUAAGCAUGGUCGGACAUCAUGCGGUUAGUGCAAAGGCAUAAGCCAGCUUGACUGCGAGAGUGACGGCUCGAGCAGGUACGAAAGUAGGUCUUAGUGAUCCGGUGGUUCUGAAUGGAAGGGCCAUCGCUCAACGGAUAAAAGGUACUCCGGGGAUAACAGGCUGAUACCGCCCAAGAGUUCAUAUCGACGGCGGUGUUUGGCACCUCGAUGUCGGCUCAUCACAUCCUGGGGCUGAAGUAGGUCCCAAGGGUACGGCUGUUCGCCGUUUAAAGUGGUACGCGAGCUGGGUUUAGAACGUCGUGAGACAGUUCGGUCCCUAUCUGCCGUGGGCGUUGGAAGAUUGAAAGGGGCUGCUCCUAGUACGAGAGGACCGGAGUGGACGCACCACUGGUGUUCGGGUUGUCAUGCCAAUGGCAUUGCCCGGUAGCUAAGUGCGGAAGAGAUAACCGCUGAAAGCAUCUAAGCGGGAAACUUGCCUUGAGAUGAGUCUUCCCUGACCCUUAAAGGGUCCUAAAGGAACGUUUAAGACUAAGACGUUGAUAGGUUGGGUGUGUAAGCGUAGCGAUACGUUGAGCUAACCAAUACUAAUGAACCGUGAGGCUUAACCUG
rnacentral:rRNA from 1 species